CCUACGGGAGGCAGCAGUAGGGAAUCUUGCACAAUGGGCGCAAGCCUGAUGCAGCGACGCCGCGUGGGGGACGAAGGCCCUCGGGUUGUAAACCCCUUUCGGCAGGGAAGAAGCGCAAGUGACGGUACCUGCAGAAGAAGCUCCGGCUAACUACGUGCCAGCAGCCGCGGUAAGACGUAGGGAGCGAGCGUUGUCCGGAUUCAUUGGGCGUAAAGCGCGCGUAGGCGGUUUGGCAAGUCGGAUGUGAAAUCCCGCGGCUCAACCUCGGGACUGCAUCCGAUACUGCCCGACUAGAGGCAGGUAGGGGAGAUCGGAAUUCCUGGUGUAGCGGUGAAAUGCGCAGAUAUCAGGAGGAACACCGGUGGCGAAGGCGGAUCUCUGGGCCUGUCCUGACGCUGAGGCGCGAAAGCUAGGGGAGCGAACAGGAUUAGAUACCCCGG
rnacentral:rRNA from 1 species